rnacentral:rRNA from 1 species
GCUAUCCAAUUGGGAGGGAGUCUGACGGAGCGACGCCGCUUGGAGGAGGAAGCCCUUCGGGGUGUAAACUCCUGAACUGGGGACGAAAGCCCCGUGUAGGGGGAUGACGGUACCCAGGUAAUAGCGCCGGCCAACUCCGUGCCAGCAGCCGCGGUAAUACGGAGGGCGCGAGCGUUACCCGGAUUUACUGGGCGUAAAGGGCGUGUAGGCGGCCUGGGGCGUCCCAUGUGAAAGGCCACGGCUCAACCGUGGAGGAGCGUGGGAUACGCUCAGGCUAGAGGGUGGGAGAGGGUGGUGGAAUUCCCGGAGUAGCGGUGAAAUGCGCAGAUACCGGGAGGAACGCCGAUGGCGAAGGCAGCCACCUGGUCCACUUCUGACGCUGAGGCGCGAAAGCGUGGGGAGCAAACCGGAUUAGAUACCCGGGUAGUCCACGCCCUAAACGAUGCGCGCUAGGUCUCUGGGUUUAUCUGGGGGCCGAAGCCAACGCGUUAAGCGCGCCGCCUGGGGAGUACGGCCGCAAGGCUGAAACUCAAAGGAAUUGACGGGGGCCCGCACAAGCGGUGGAGCAUGUGGUUUAAUUCGAAGCAACGCGAAGAACCUUACCAGGCCUUGACAUGCUGGGGAACCUGGGUGAAAGCCUGGGGUGCCCGCGAGGGAGCCCCAGCACAGGUGCUGCAUGGCCGUCGUCAGCUCGUGUCGUGAGAUGUUGGGUUAAGUCCCGCAACGAGCGCAACCCCUGCCCUUAGUUGCCAGCGGGUUGGGCCGGGCACUCUAAGGGGACUGCCUGCGAAAGCAGGAGGAAGGCGGGGACGACGUCUGGUCAUCAUGGCCCUUACGGCCUGGGCGACACACGUGCUACAAUGCCCACUACAGAGCGAGGCGACCCAGUGAUGGGGAGCGAAUCGCAAAAAGGUGGGCGUAGUUCGGAUUGGGGUCUGCAACCCGACCCCAUGAAGCCGGAAUCGCUAGUAAUCGCGGAUCAGCCAUGCCGCGGUGAAUACGUUCCCGGGCCUUGUACACACCGCCCGUCACGCCAUGGGAGCGGGUUCUACCCGAAGUCGCCGGGAGCCUUAGGGCAGGCGCCGAGGGUAGGCCCCCGGAGU